rnacentral:lncRNA from 1 species
AAUGUUCAUCACUGUCUGGAUGGAGUCGCCUCUCUGAUCUAAAGGGAACUGUUACUACUUGAAGUUUGGGAAAGCUGUCAUCUGUUGACCGGUCACCUGACAGCCUUCAGACGGUAUCGUCUGGAGUCCACUGGCCUGGACAAGAUACUGGGAUCCUCAUUGCUGAGUUGGUCCCAUUCAGACUGAAUCCAGUUCUUUUGGAGCACGGUUGCGAUGCAGACGGCUUUUUAGACACCAGCCGGAAAAGUUCACCAACACAAUUCGUUUCAAGCUCCAGCUCUGGAAAGCACCAAAUGUAUCCGUGAGACUCUCUCGUUACUUCACUCAGUGGGCAUUAUGUUGACCCUAAUCUAAAUCCAUCAGCAACUCAUCCCUACCUUUCCCUCCCAUCUCCCCUCCCCA